rnacentral:rRNA from 1 species
GUGGGGAAUUUUGGACAAUGGGCGCAAGCCUGAUCCAGCAAUGCCGCGUGAGUGAAGAAGGCCUUCGGGUUGUAAAGCUCUUUUGUCAGGGAAGAAACGGUUCCGGCUAAUAUCCGGGGCUAAUGACGGUACCUGAAGAAUAAGCACCGGCUAACUACGUGCCAGCAGCCGCGGUAAUACGUAGGGUGCAAGCGUUAAUCGGAAUUACUGGGCGUAAAGCGUGCGCAGGCGGUUUUGUAAGUCUGUCGUGAAAGCCCCGGGCUCAACCUGGGAAUUGCGAUGGAGACUGCAAGGCUUGAAUCUGGCAGAGGGGGGUAGAAUUCCACGUGUAGCAGUGAAAUGCGUAGAGAUGUGGAGGAACACCGAUGGCGAAGGCAGCCCCCUGGGUCAAGAUUGACGCUCAUGCACGAAAGCGUGGGGAGCAAACAGG